UCUCUCUCUUCCCUCCACCGUUCAAUAUCAAAGCUCCGACCUUCCCGCCAAAACCUCUCCCCCUCUCGCCCCUCGACCGCCGCCUCAUCACCCCCACCAUCGUGGCGGCGACCUCCCUGGAGCAAUCUCCCACCCCGACCUCGUGUGCCGUGAUGGGUCCCAUCCCGACCUCCGCCCCUUCUUCUCCUCCUCAAGUCUGUUCGCUCUCGGAGGCGGGUCCAUCGCUCGCUGGCUCGGUGCCAGCUCGAGGCCCACUUCGGGGAUUCUCAACUCGCUCAUCAGUCUCUACUCGAAAUGCAAUGACUGGGCCGAGGCCGAGAGGAUAUUUAUGGACAUGGGUCAGAAAAGGGACUUGGUUUCUUGGAGUUUGAAGCGGUUGAAACUUUCCUUCAUAUGCUUGAAGAUGGCUUUUUUUACCUAACGAUUAUUGUUUCGCGGCGGUUAUUCGGGCUUGUUCAGUUCCGGAGAAUGCAUCAAUUGGUGAUGCAAUUUUCUGGUUUAUAAUCAAAAGCGGCUACGUAAAUUAUGAUGUCUGCGUUGGGUGUGCAUUUUAAUUGACACGUUUGCAAAGGGUAGUGCUGAUUUUGUUUCAGCUCAUAAGGUGUUCGAGAAAAUGCCUGAGAGGAGUGUGGCUGCAAACUGAAGAGAAUGAGGAGUAUCAAACUCUUUUCGGAAAUGAUAAAGGGUCCAGUGAGGCCAAACCAUUUCACAUUUGCUAGUGUUCUCAAGGAAUGCGGAAGUACUUGUAAUGUAGAUAUGGGGAUAUAAAUAUACACGCUAGCUAUAAAAUUGGGCUUUGCUGGUGAUAAUUGCGUGGGUAAUUCUCUUAUUAGCAUGCAUUCUCGGUAAGGCCACAUGAAAGACGCUCAGAGAGCUUUUGAUGCACUAUUUGAAAAGGAUUUGAUUUCUUAUAAUACCCUUGUGGAUACCUGUGCCAAAAAUUUGGAGUCCGAUCAAGCCUUUGAAAUAUGCAAUUGGAAUGAGUGCUUUUACAUUUGCCAGCCUUUUGUGGAGCUGCCUGUAUUGGCGCUAUUGGUAAGGGGAAGCAAAUCCAUGCGAGGAUGGUAAAAUCAGGGCUGGCCUCAAAUCAAUUGAUUUCCAAUGCUUUGACACUAUGUAUUCAAGGUGUGGGAACAUAGAAGCUGCUUUUCGAGUUUUCUGUGAGAUGAGAGAGAAAAAUAUUAUAGCUUGGACUCCAAUGAUCACUGGUUUCACAAAACAUGGAUUUGCAUCAAGAACUCUGGACGCAUUCUGUAAAAUGCUAGAGGCCGGCGUGAGGCCAAAUGAGAUCACCUAUGUUGCUGUUUUGUCCUCUUGUAGCUAUGUGGGUCAAUGUACACGGAACAUGGAAUCUUGCCUAGAAUUGGAUGCUAUGCAUGAACAGUUGUCGUAUUGGGCAGAUCAGGAUUCCUUGUUAAUGCUCUUCAGUUUAUAAAUUCAAUGCUUUUCAGGGCUGAUGCACUGGUCUGGUGUACAUUUCUUAGAGCUUGCCGAGUUCACGGCAUUAUUAGACUUGCAAAACAAGCUGUGACAAUGAUUUUUUAGCAGGAAUCGGCUGACCCUGCUUCUUAUGUUUUGCUAUCAAGUAUGUGUGCCUUGGCUGGUCUAUGGAAGAUGCAGCAGCAAUCAGAAACAAGAUGAAACUGAAAUGUCUUACAAGCUGGUGGUGGCUGGAUUCAAAUGACAAAUAUAGUUCACAAGUUCUAUGUGGGAGACACUUUGGCACUGGAGAUCUAUGAUGGACAUGACCGAUUGGCUAGUAGAAUAAGGAAACUGGGUUAUGUUCUGAAUACCAAAUUUGUUCUUUAUGACGUCGGGGAGGGACAAAAGGAACAAUAUUUGCUCCAGCAUCGUGAAAAAUUGGUGUUAUUUUUGGCCUUGUGAAGUUGUAAGCACCUUCAGUCCAAAAUCUGUUAGGGUGUUUAAGAAUCUCCACAUUUGCAGUGAUUGUCAUUCUGUGAUCAAGUAUAUCUUCAUGGCAACUGGAGAUCUAUAUUCAUAAGUGAUGCAUACCACUUCCAUCAUUUUGCGGACGGAACAUGCUCAUGCAAUGACUACUGGACUGUUGCAGAGUGGAUAAUUUUUGGAAAGUGGUGAUUGGGGAGAAACAAGAGUAACUUUCGUUUGCAAACAACGGUUUGAAACCAAGAGGCAUGAUCCUUGAGGGGUUCAUGCAGUGAUCAAGCAUUCGCAGUAUUGCAUCUACUAGUCAGGGAGAAAAAUGUUUUUUGUCGAAUAGGGCAUCAUCCCUGAUGUACAUCUUAGCUCCUUAUUGUUCCUCUGCAAGGCUUCUACUAUACAAUAUUGGACUUAUGAGAACAGGGAAAGCAACAGGUACUCAUUACUGUUUCCCCUCGGCAAAUGACUGCGUAUAAUCUAAAGGUGUUUGACUA